rnacentral:lncRNA from 1 species
CUCCGAGUCGUAGUAUGUUGCAGAAAGUAUAAUAAGAGAUAGAAUGUAUGCACUAUGGCGAAUGUAUGCAUUAUGGCUAGCAGUAACAUUUUUUUGACUUGCGCAGCAUUUGAUCUAUCUAUUUCUGCAGGCUAUUUCUCAUGUUGCAACCUUUUCCCGUAGAAUCAAAACGAGUUAGAUGGAAGAAAUUGCAGGAGGUAUAUUUCGUGUUCUACUUUUGGAGGCUUGUCUAUAGUAUUAGUGUUGGAGGUCUGUCAAUAGUAGUAUUAGUUUUGGAGGCUUGUCUAUAUUAGUCAUAUUUUUUGGAUUGCGUUUUUUUCCAUCUGCAUCCUCUGGAUUAUGUUUCUUUGUUAUUGCCAUGUGUUACUCUUUCUCAUUACUGUGAUCGUCAGUGCUCUUCACAGUGGUUGUUCUUGCUUUAUGGUUGCCUUCUCAGUGCACUUUUAUUAGUUGUAAUACAUUAAUAUAAUAUGCUCGAUUGACCAUAUUAAUUAUAUAUUGCACUUCACGGGGGGGCUGUUGGUGGAAGUGUUAGUUAAAAUAUUUUGGUGGCAGUGUAUAAAACUAACUGUUGUACACCAUUGUUAAGUGCACUUUUGAGCUUUGAGUAGACAACUGUGGUCUUAAUUACUUUAAAGGGUCGUUAGUAUAUAUUACUAUCGGAUUUUAAUGUUCAGUUAUUCACACUAUCAUUGCUUGAUUAUGAUAGCUUGCUAUUAUUAGAGAAGGAAUGGUAUUCCCGGCGUGACAUUCAAAAGCAGUCAAGAUGGUGAGGUUUAGAACGGAGGAGCUCCGCGGAAUUAUGGAUAGAAAAUAUCCAUAACAUGUCUGUCAUUGCCAUGUUGACCGCGGUAUGUGACCAAGCAGUGACAGCUGUCUCUAAUUAUCAAUUUUAUACAGUAGAAUCUUCUUGAUUGAUGAUUUUGUAGUCUUCUCUUAGUUGUACUAUAUUAAUUCUUAAAACUAGAUCAUUUAAAAUUAGUUAGAUUUAAUGAGUUGUUUCACUGUUUUCAAAUAAGUAGUUUAAGCCCUUAUUGUGUUCUGGAGCAUAUUCUUUCUGCCUUUUUAUGAUUGAUUUAUGCUCUCAAAAGCUUAAUUGUAACUAUCGGCGUAUAAUCUCAUGGCUCAAAAUCUUAAUUGUUGAAUGUAUUAAAAUUUAUGAUCUGGAGUUUGCACUAUAUUUCAUACAGCGGUAUUCCCAGUAACUGAAUGUUAAGAGAACUGACGAUCCCAGGUUGUACAUUCAGUUACUGGGAAAUGCUUUUAUCUUGUAGGCUAGUUUGACACUUACUUUUUCAAUAAUGAGAUGACCAUGAGCAGUGUAUCAAGGUCUUUUAAAUACUAACGUUGUGUUAAGAUUAGUAAAAGAAGGAUUGAUAGCGGCAUACCUUAACUCGACUGAUUCUUUAAUUGCUGCCUCUCUAAGCCUUGAUUAGCCAUGGAGAUACUGAAGUUCCAAAGCCACAAGUUAGGCCAUCCUUCUAAGAUCCGUUCAUCCCAGUUCAUUAAUUUGUUUGAAAUAUAUAUUUAUAUUCCAAAAUUGCUCAAUCUCCAGCAGGCCUCAAGGUUAUCAGAUGAAAUCCGGUUAAAUUUUCCUCUAGACUUAGUUGAAAGUAUUCCUUUUGUUAUCCAGUUUUUUGCUACGCAUGUUACCUUUGUCGCUGAAUAUUGCCUACAGUUUAUAUAUAGUAGACUCACAUGAUUACCUGAUGACUCGUUCACGCAAGAACUAUUGUCAAUUUUUUCCUUUUCUGCAAUGAUGGUCGUAGCCCUUUGAUUCUACAAGCCGCAAAGGAGCAAAGUGUAGAAAAAUAUGUCCAUUGUUGUUGAAUUGGUGGGAUUGUCACCAAGUUAGUGCUGCAGAUUGUUUCUAUUUUAGAGGAAGAAGCCAAAUCAUGUUGUUCAUUGUAAAUCUUGAAAAACUUGUUUAUUGUCACUUUUAUAUCUGUUAUAAACUUUUGUUCAUGAU